rnacentral:rRNA from 1 species
CAGCAGCCGCGGUAAUACGUAGGUGGCAAGCGUUGUCCGGAAUUAUUGGGCGUAAAGGGCUCGCAGGCGGUUUCUUAAGUCUGAUGUGAAAGCCCCCGGCUCAACCGGGGAGGGUCAUUGGAAACUGGGAAACUUGAGUGCAGAAGAGGAGAGUGGAAUUCCACGUGUAGCGGUGAAAUGCGUAGAGAUGUGGAGGAACACCAGUGGCGAAGGCGACUCUCUGGUCUGUAACUGACGCUGAGGAGCGAAAGCGUGGGGAGCGAGCAGGAUUAGAGACCCGCGUAGUCCCUGUCUCUUAUAA